rnacentral:rRNA from 1 species
AGCGAACGCUGGCGGCAGGCUUAACACAUGCAAGUCGAGCGGGCAUCCUUGUGGUGUCAGCGGCAGACGGGUGAGUAACGCGUGGGAACGUGCCCUUCGGUUCGGAAUAACUCAGGGAAACUUGAGCUAAUACCGGAUACGCCCUUUUGGGGAAAGGUUUACUGCCGAAGGAUCGGCCCGCGUCUGAUUAGCUAGUUGGUGAGGUUAUGGCUCACCAAGGCGACGAUCAGUAGCUGGGCUGAGAGGAUGAUCAGCCACACUGGGACUGGGACACGGCCCAGACUCCUACGGGAGGCAGCAGUGGGGGAUAUUGGACCAUGGGGGCAAUCAUGAUCCAGCCAUGCCGCGUGAGUGAUGACGGCCUUAGGGUUGUAAAGCUCUUUUCUCCGGGACGAUAAUGACGGUACCGGAGGAAUAAGCCCCGGCUAACUUCGUG